AACUGAUACUACCUGCGGGAACCUGCGGAAGGAUCAUUACCGAGUGCGGGCCCUCUGGGUCCAACCUCCCAUCCGUGUCUCUUGUACCCUGUUGCUUCGGCGGGCCCGCCUUCAUGGCCGCCGGGGGGCUUCUGCCCCCGGGCCCGCGCCCGCCGGAGACUCCAACAUUGAACACUGUCUGAAGGUUGCAGUCUGAGUUUUCAUAUAAGAAAAAUCGUUAAAACUUUUAGCAACGGAUCU
rnacentral:misc_RNA from 1 species